UACAGAGGGGGCAAGCGUUAUUCGGAAUUAUUGGGCGUAAAGGGCGCGUAGGCGGCCUGGCAAGUGGAAGGUGAAAUCCCUCGGCUUAACCGAGGAACUGCCUUCCAGACUGCUUGGCUUGAGACCGGGAGAGGUGAGUGGAAUUCCCAGUGUAGCGGUGAAAUGCGUAGAUAUUGGGAGGAACACCAGUGGCGAAGGCGGCUCACUGGACCGGUACUGACGCUGAUGCGCGAAAGCGUGGGGAGCAAACGGG
rnacentral:rRNA from 1 species